rnacentral:misc_RNA from 1 species
UAACUUGUACGAUGUUGGAGGCA